rnacentral:rRNA from 1 species
GACGAACGCUGGCGGCGUGCUUAACACAUGCAAGUCGAGCGGUAAGGCCCUUUCGGGGGUACACGAGCGGCGAACGGGUGAGUAACACGUGGGUGACCUGCCCUUAGCUCUGGGAUAAGCCUGGGAAACUGGGUCUAAUACCGGAUAUGACUCCAUAACGCAUGUUGUGGGGUGAAAGCCUUGUGCGGCUAGGGAUGGGGCCCGCGGCCUAUCAGCUUGUUGGUGGGGUGAUGGGCCACCAAGGCGACGACGGGUAGCCGGCCUGAGAGGGCGACCGGCCACACUGGGACUGAGACACGGCCCAGACUCCUACGGGAGGC